CAGGGAAUCUUGCGCAAUGGGCGAAAGCCUGACGCAGCGACACCGCGUGGGGGAAGAAGGCCUUCGGGUCGUAAACCCCUUUUCUCAGGGAAGAGCAAGGACGGUACUUGAGGAAUAAGGUUCGGCUAACUACGUGCCAGCAGCCGCGGUAAUACGUAGGAACCGAGCGUUGUCCGGAAUUAUUGGGCGUAAAGGGCGCGUAGGCGGCCCGUUAAGUCUCAUGUGAAAUCUCCCGGCUCAACUGGGAGGGGUCAUGGGAAACUGGCAGGCUCGAGGGCAGUAGAGGAAAGUGGAAUUCCCGGAGUAGUGGUGAUAUGCGUAGAUACCGGGAGGAACACCAGUGGCGAAGGCGGCUUUCUGGGCUGCUCCUGACGCUGAGGCGCGAAAGCAUGGGUAGCAAACCGG
rnacentral:rRNA from 1 species